rnacentral:rRNA from 1 species
AGCGAACGCUGGCGGCGUGCCUAACACAUGCAAGUCGAGCGAAGGCAUGAGUGUAGCAAUACACUUAUGUACUUAGCGGCGGACGGGUGAGUAACAACGUGGAUAAUCUGCCCUGGGGACCGGGACAACUCUUGGAAACGGGAGCUAAUACCGGAUGUGACCACGAUGCUUGAGGCAUUGGGGUAAAAGGGCGGCCUGCAAGGGCUGUUGCUUCGGGAUGAGUUCACGA